ACGUAUAUUCCCAAUCUCCUUUGG
rnacentral:siRNA from 1 species